UACGGAGGAUUCAAGCGUUAUCCGGAUUUACUGGGUGUAAAGGGAGCGUAGACGGCGGUGCAAGCCAGAUGUGAAAGCCCGGGGCUCAACCCCGGGACUGCAUUUGGAACUGUGCUGCUAGAGUGUCGGAGAGGCAGGCGGAAUUCCUAGUGUAGCGGUGAAAUGCGUAGAUAUUAGGAGGAACACCAGUGGCGAAGGCGGCUCACUGGACUGUAACUGACGUUGAGGCUCGAAAGCGUGGGGAGCAAACAGG
rnacentral:rRNA from 1 species